rnacentral:rRNA from 1 species
AUUGAACGCUGGCGGCAGGCCUAACACAUGCAAGUCGAACGAGUGGCGGACGGGUGAGUAAUGUCUGGGAAACUGCCCGAUGGAGGGGGAUAACUACUGGAAACGGUAGCUAAUACCGCAUACCAUCGGAUGUACCCAGAUGGGAUGAGCUUGUAGGGGGGGUAACGGCUCACCUAGGCGACGAGCUCUAGCUGGUCUGAGAGGAUGACCAGCCACACUGGAACUGAGACACGGUCCAUACUCCUACGGGAGGCAGCAGUGGGGAAUAUUGCACAAUGGGCGCAAGCCUGAUGCAGCCAUGCCGCGUGUAUGAAGAAGGCCUUCGGGUUGUAAAGUACUUUCAGCGAGGAGGCGUUACUCGCAGAAGAAGCACCGGCUAACUCCGUGCCAGCAGCCGCGGUAAUAC